CAGGAGGGACCUAUCUGAUUGGCAAUUCAAUGGAAAAUUCUGGUCAUUCAGUGACUCAUACAACACGAGCCUCCCCAGCUACAAUUGAAAUGGCGAUUGAGACACUUCAAAAGUCUGAUGGUCUUUCUACUCACAGAAGCUCUCUUCUCAACAGCCAUCUCCAAUGGCUUUUAGACAACUAUGAAACUGCAGAAGGAGUGAGUCUCCCCAGAAGUACCCUUUACAACCAUUACUUACGUCAUUGUCAGGAGCACAAGUUAGAUCCAGUCAAUGCUGCCUCCUUUGGAAAACUCAUACGGUCAAUUUUCAUGGGAUUACGGACCAGAAGACUGGGAACCAGGGGGAACUCCAAAUACCAUUAUUAUGGGAUUCGUGUCAAACCAGAUUCUCCCCUUAAUCAGCUACAAGAGGACAUGCAAUAUAUGGCUAUGAGACAGCAACCCAUGCAGCAGAAACAGAGGUAUGGUGUUAUAUAAAACUAUGUUUUCAUAUUUCUAGUUCUUGAAAUCUUACCUCU